AGAUACAUAAGAGAGGCGAGCGAGAGAGUUAUAGAUACAUGUGAAUCUACUUGGAUACAAUGUAUCUAAAAUAAAUUACACCCAAUUUUGACUUCAUAUAUCUGAGAUACAUGUAUCUUGAUGUGCCAAAUACAUGUAUAUAUGAGAACCGAAUUCUGGCACGAAUGGUAAUUUCAAAAACUCAAGGGAAGGUACGUAAUUAGAUCCUAAACUAGUGGAAUUUGUGUCGUAACAUAGAUAGACACCUAAACUUGGCCUCAGCUGGCAACUAAAUACCUCAAUUUUGUGUUGAAAAUGCAUAUCUAGAAGCCUUAACUUGGUUUAAGUUGGCCCCCACAAACACACCAACUUUGAGAAUGAACUCACUUAAAGGUAUCUAGAUGUGCAUUUUCAAAGAUAAGGUGUCUAUGAGACGCACCUAUGUCGAGUUGAAGUGUCUAGAUGGUCACAAUGAAAGUUGGGGUGUUCAACUCUCGAUGGAGGCCAAGUUAAAGUGUCUAUCUAUAUAUUAUGUCUUGUAUAUUUAUGUGUUUCUACAUUAAUCUCAAGUUAGUAUAGUAAUAACCAGACGAACGGAUUGAAUUCCGUGAUAAAUAUUCUUAUACAUUAAUCAAAAAUUUCAAUACAAAUAUGUGGUCUAGGGCAAAUGUUAAUUAAUUCACAUGACAAUAUCAAUAAGCAUUGCACUAGAUCUGCCCUCUCACACAUAUCAUCAUGUCAUAAAAAAGGCUAGUAGGAGAAGCUUCGAUGAAGACAAGGACAAGGACAAAUAUCUUGUAUGAGCAUAUCAAGUGAAAUGUAUGUUAUAUAUAUAAUUGAAUAAUUUUAAUCAAGUGAUGAAAUGGUAAAUAUUAAAUUUGAACUAGAUCAAAUUAAUUGGUAUGUGUACAUUUAAUUUCAAGCUAAAUUGAGUUUCUUUUACCUAAGGAUAUUCAACAAGUGAAAAUCCCCAUUUAAAGUGUUUAUGUCAUGGGAAACUUAUAUAGCUUGAUAUAAUCCUUAUAGUUUGUUUUGAUAUAUGAGCAAAAUUCAUAAAGAGGUCCAAGUUGGUUGUUGAGUAGAGUACGGCUAACUGAGAGUCCUUGCCCUUUCGGUUUGCUGGUAGAAUGGGCAUAAAUAGCCUUUUUUGGCCAGGAAACUAUCUAAUCUUGUUUUGGAUCUUGGUGAGUGUUGACCAAUCUAAAUGAGGAAAUUAGUGAGUAAAAAUCAAAUUCGAACAUCUCGAACUCAUGAAGAAGUAAAUGACAAUAAAGAAAGUGUGUGUGCAUUUCUCACGCGAUUUUGACCAUUGACAUGAUGGGUUGUGAGUUGUCAAUAUAUUAAUACUAUUAUUCAUAAGUUUAAAAUUUUUGAAUUCGUUUUUGUCUCUAAAUGAAAAAAUACAUGAUAAUAGAAGCAUGUCGAUACCAAAAUUGUCAAAGCAUGCAACCAAUCAAAAUAGGCUAACACUUGGCACUUUUAUUUAUGGUCCUAACCUUGUGAAUUUCACCUGACUAAGUCAAAUAAAUGUCCUGUAAAUGGUCCUUUCUCUUAGUUUGAACAAUGCUAAUAAGGUCCCCUCCCAUUUCCCAUAUACAUACUUUCACAAGGUUUUAUAUUCUUGUUUUUUUUUUACUAGGUGACAAUAGAAAGAAUCAUAUGUUCAUAUUUAUGAAACCAAGUUACAUGCCCAUCAUCACUAACUUUGCAAUUUAAUUUAUCAAUAUUUUAUUCAAAGUCAAAUCUAAAAUUUUAGUGUUAAACUUUUGUGUCGAUGUAGAUUCAGAAUUUUAAGAAGAUAAGUACAAUACUAUAUGUUCAAACGCUCUUGCUUAAUGCAUGAGCUUCCAUUGCCUCACUUUUUAACUCUCCUUGUGUCCUUCCACAAGGUUGUCAAAAAGAGUGAAAGGGGUAGCUAUCAUGGUGGAGUCGUUUCGGUUAUAUGCCACGAGGUUUGUAUGGAC
rnacentral:lncRNA from 1 species